rnacentral:rRNA from 1 species
GGAAACAGAUGCUAAUACCGGAUAACAACAGAUGAUGCCUAUCAACUGUUUAAAAGAUGGUUCUGCUAUCACUCUUGGAUGGACCUGCGGUGCAUUAGCUAGUUGGUAGGGUAACGGCCUACCAAGGCGAUGAUGCAUAGCCGAGUUGAGAGACUGAUCGGCCACAUUGGGACUGAGACACGGGCCCAAACUCCUACGGGAGGCAGCAGUC